CUUGUAAGGAUGUUCAAAGUUUGGACAAAAUGUAAGCUGUUACUCUGAGAGUAUGUUGAAAAUUUUGGCAUAUUGUAUUCCAUUUCCAAACAUUUUAAUCAAGUUACCAUGUUAUGAACUCAGAGCCUUAUUUCAGCUCUGAAUUUCUUAUGUUAUGCAGAUGGACUGGUUGAGAGUUUAUUUUGCAUGGUUUGGCCCGACCACAAAAUAAGGCUAAAACAAACUCCUUCUUCACUUGCUUUCUGGGGCCUGUACUGAUAGCAUGAGCUAAGCAUUUGGCAGUGACCCAGAGAGAUCAGCUUUCACUGAGAAAAACAUAUGACUUUUUCACAUAUAUUUACACUUUUCAAACCUGUUUCAUUGCCAUUGCAAACCUGUUGAAUUUGUAGUUCUUCUAUGACCCAGUGUACAGUAUAGUGCAUGUGAAAGAAUAUUUAUAAGUGUGUUUAUGCCUUCAUAAAAGAGGCUGGACUGCACAAUUUCAUGGCUCGGUUCAACUUAAGAAGAUCUCCUAACAAGUGAAACCUACUUCUGAUUGAUGACACAUACACAUAUACCUUACUCUAGAAAGUAAAUAAUCUUUUUCUAAUGAUACUCCUCAUGAAAAUACACAACUGCUUUUAGAAAUAGAAGCAGCCAAAUAAGUGCAUUUGAACUGUAGGAAGCAGGUCAGUGGGGUGAGGCAGAGAGGGAGCUGCAUAGGCCUGAGCAAACAUGGGCCCUCUAAAGUUUGUUUUUGCAGAAUCAUUUGCAAGCUGUGUCCAGCCUGAUUUAAUCUCCAGCUGAACCCUGGGUGGCAGUGUAUACAGACCCUUUCUGAGUGCACUACUCAACUCCACUGCUGACUGUUCCCUCAUCAUCUGGAGCAUUCAAUCUGUACCAUAUCUGUUUCACAGUUUCAUAGCAGCCUUGGAGCUGAGUACCGAUUUGAAGUGGUUAGUCAGAGCAUGAGUCCUAGUCAUGUGAUAUAGCUACUCCCAUCAUUAGUCACAAGAGGGAAAGGCAGAGAGGUGCACAUUGAGCUGUUACUUUCACAGGAUUGACAGUCAGGCUUUAGGAGUGUGUUGAAAUUAAUUUGCAGAGCUGAUCACACUUGCACAUGGUUGGAUGACAGAUAAAUAUUUAAACAAGAAACGAGAGGAGGUAAGCUUAAGCCAAGUCUAGGGUAAAGUAAGUUUUCCAAAUAUUUAAGGAGUUCUACAGUGAAAGCAUUCUUUUCACUUCAAAUAAAAUGGCAUCCCAAUUGGGAAGAUCAUUUAUUUUUGGAAUGAGAGACUGUUUGAAAGUCUUGGUUCACGUCCACUAGGGGGUGCUCACUGGUCGUUAAAAUAGGAAGCUGGCACAAAAUACCAGGCACACAUGCCACUGAAGAUAGUGCUGAUUAAACAGAAAAAAGCCCCAGACAAUCUCUACAUCUUCGUGAACCAUUUCAUUUUGCUUGGCCAUGGCUGCUUUGUUGCUGCAUACCUCUCCAUGGUUGUGCUCAGCCAUCAGAUCAAUGUACGAGAGCAAGGACCCUCCGGCUUGGGUAAGGUGAGCGUGAGAGGGCAGCCUUAGGGCCUCUACACAGGCUCCAUCUCACUGUGGCCUUCUCUCACUGGGGCUUCUGUGCUUUUGGCCCAUCAGCCCCACGAUCAUUAUAACCCCAACAAAGCAGGCGCCUGGCUGUGGAACGUUCCGGAGCCAUGUGUUAUCUGAGCGCUGGGAGCUGGACGGCCAUCCAAGCCUGCCAAAUACAGCACGCUGCCUGCCAGGACAGAAUCAUGGCCUCACCUGAGAGAGAGAGAGAGAGAGAGAGAGAGAGAGCAUGCACGCCAGAGAGAGACAAAAUCUCACAUUUCUUUAAUUAUUAUCACAGACAUUUGCAGCUGGCCUCAUCAGUAGGAUACACCUUACACUGAUUCGGAAUAGUACUUUUGAAAUAACAGAAACUGACAUCAAACACAGUGUACUCUUCUGGUAUGUGUCUUUAGUCUAAGAUCAGGCUAAUGAUAAGACAAACCCGUUUAUCUCAGGAAAUUCUGUCUGGUAUUGAGUGAUGACAAUAUUAAAAAUCACUACACCACAUUACUAAAUGAUAAGUGAGAUUAAAUAAACAAUGAUGCUAUUACUCCAAAAUUCACUUUGCAUUUUCAGUGCUCUUCAGGUACCUAACUUGUGUGUAAUGUGUUUAACAGCUGAUGAUUCUUUAGAAGGCGGGGUUAUGCUCUCUUAAAGUGCCCCUGCUCAAGUCAUUUUAAGGCAGCAAAACAGUCUAUUUUGAAUACUAUUUGCAUGCUGUGUACCUGUUCAGCGGCAAACAUGUGUACCACUUUAAUCUCAUUAAAAUAACAAGCAUCUAUGAACACACAAAUUUAAAACAUUCACACUGAUGUGUCUUUUCCCGUUCCUCACAGCAUUAUACACUGUUGCAAAAUAAGUAAAUCAUAAUCAAGAAGCUACAUUUUGAAAAUGCUAGCCUGUAUGUCUAAAUGACAGACUGACAGCAUCUGAAGAAGAUCUUUUUUUUCUCCCCAAAUAGGGGACACCUUCAAGGGUAAGUUCAAUAAUUAUCUUUGCUUUUACUAUUAUUGCUAAACAGAACAAUCACUGCAGAUUUACUAAAUGUAGUGUUAGUAAAUAAGAAAUUUGUUGCCUGUUGUUUAAUGUGCCUGACAAUCUUAAUUUAUUUUUACAAAUGUAACCAAAGUUAGUAAAAUACUGUAUACCAGAACCAUGAAACAAGAAUUUCUCUUAUGACUAAUGAUAAGUUGAAAGUGUGAGUUGUAAAAAGAAAGAAAUUGCACGUCAGAUGUAGUGGGUGCAAAGCUGCAACAUAUGUUUAUGACACAAUGACCCAGCUACCAUGAUCAGCUACUUAAUUAGCUAACCCAGCCAAUAUAUGCUUGAAAUGUUUGAAAUUCACACAUUAUCGAUAUUAAUCUGUCAUUUGUCUACAUUAAUUAUAUUUAAUUGUUUCAGCUAUUGUGUUUAUCUUUCGUUACAGCAUUAUUUAACAGUUGAUCUUCCCCAUUUCAUUAAGGAUGCACUUCAAUUAUCUCAUCUAGAAAUAAUUAGGUCAGGCACUCCCAUAUUUAAUUUAGACUUGUGCGUAGAAAAUAAAUAAUUAAAAAAGCCAAGCAGAGUUUUCAGUAAACUUGGUGUCAUGCAUUGGUAAAUAAUGUGUCCAUAUUGUAUACUAAGUGUGUGUGUGUGUGUGGAUAUGUAGGGUGGAAAUCAAACACACGAUUCACUGUCUUUGUUUAUGCUUACUCUUCCCCACUACUUUCUCCAUUCUGCCUGCUCUCGCACACAUUUGUUCACACAAAAUGCAGAUAUUCAAAUUGUUACUCACUGUUUGACUCAGAGAGCAGGUCUGUAUACAUUACCACAGUCAACCCAGCUGGUCCUCACUUUUUCAUUGGGUGACCUUUACACAGGGUAACUCCUUCAGUAACUCAUUUUUGAAUUUUGUUAACACUGUCACACUUGUAUAUUAAACUAUCAAAUGCUGGUUACUGCAUACUGUUGAUUCAUUGGGAAUAGGAAGGAAGUAGGGGACAUGACCUCCAAUUUCUCAAAAUUCUGUUACAAGAGGCUAUAGGAGAAAUUGCUUAUUAUGUUAAAUCUGUUGGUGUACAAAGAUGUCAUAAACCAAAUAA